rnacentral:rRNA from 1 species
UUUAAGCAUAUCACUCAGUGGAGGAACCGCAAGCAACCGCGAUUGCUUCAGUAAUGGCGAAUGAAUCAGCAGCAGACCGACAGGGAACUCCCCCUGAAGGCGGAACUCCAGACGUGCGCCGUGCCCAGCCCCGUCUGCGGGCGGCGCGCGAUCGGCUUUCGUGGAUUCCAGCAAAGGCUGUGGGCUAUGGGGCGGCCGGCCGCCGCCAGCAGUGGAUCCCAGUCGCCAAGAAUGGAAGCGCCCUGGAACGGGCCACCGCAGCGGGAUACCGUCCCCUACACUGGCUGAGCACUGUGGACCUCCCUGCGGGCGUGGCCGGUCGCACCCCGGAGUAGAGUGGCUUGGGACUGCAGUUCGAAGUGCGGCGUGUAUCCGCCGCAAGGAUGCAUACAGACCUGGGACCGAUAGCGCAGAAGUAGAGUGAUCGAAGGAUGCAAAGAACUCCGUGAAGAGGGUUAAACAGUCCCUGAAGCCUCCGCAGGAACGGCGGUGAGUGGUGUUGUGGCGAUCAUCCCAGCAGAGAAUCCAAGCAACCUUUGGGCCAGCCCCCGGACUGGCCUCCUGGAGCCCUCGCCUCCAGGCGGGGAAGAGCCAUACGUCGCGGCAGUCCGGGGUGGCACCUGGCCUGCCCGGGCCCGAGGUCACGCGCAGUGUGGAGAGUGACCCUGACGGCACCGCCCCUGUCCGGGCGCACGCGGACCCCCGCGGGGGCGGUCGUGGCCCGGACAGGCACCGAGACCGACCCGCACCCUCCUGGGUGUGUGUGUGUGUGUGGACAAAACCARGAUCAGAGAAGGAACGUGCUGACCCUGGGUGCGUCUCCGGACGUGCCCAGUCACCAAGGGCCCCCAGCGUCGUCUGGAAGGGCCGUCCCGCCGGGGCGGCCUGGGGUCGUGUCGCUGCGUUGGCUGACUGCACCAUGGUCCAUGGUGGUCGCUGCGCUCGGCGGCGGGACCCCCCAGCGGGGCCUUGGUGCAGACGGCAGCAGGGCUUGGCACGGGACCCCCCUUGCGGGGCCUCCCUCCGGCGGUGCCACUCUCUGCCCGUCUUGAAACACGGAUCAAGGAGUCUAUGGAGCUGGCCAGUGAUACGGUGCGAGAUCAGAACGUACAGGCCGUGAAACCCAGGCGCGUGGUGAAGGCAACACAGAGGCAACCAUCCCAGAUGGUGCGGGCCGGGCCUCUCCCGGCCCUGCUGCAGGGGAUCACCGGGCCCGCAGUCCAGUGGACAGGGUUUUGAGUGCGAGCGAGGUCCAUGGGACCCGAAAGGUGGUGAACUAUACUGUCCUACGGUGAAGCCAUGGGAAACUGUGGUGGAAGCCGGUCGCUGUUCUGACGUGCAAAUCGUGUAGCCUGAGCGCAGCAUAGGGGUGAAAGGCCAAUCGAACCGCCUAGUAGCUGGUUCCCUUCGAAGUUUCCCUCAGGAUAGCUGGGCUCGGAUGCAGGCAGAAGGAUGACCAGCCCGCGCAGGUGAUUACGUCCGGUAAAGCAACGCAUGAGAGGCAAAUCCCGGGGAAGCUCCGCUCCUCGACCUAUUCUCGAACUGUGAAUGGGCGUGGCAAACCCAUCGCAAAGCAAAGGCAGGCUCCUUCACAAGGCCGGAGGCCGCUGCGGGUGCCCCCUCCGGGUCCCAGCGGUCCUCUCCUGGCCGGAUUCUGAGCGUGUUUGGCACAGACGACGGGGCAAAGGCAAGGCGGCACCCCCCCGCCGGACAGUGGAAAAAGCGAAGGGGGGGCCGUGCGAGCCCUCCCCGGGCGUGAGAACGGCCUCCCUCCGGGCCUGUACAUUGGAUCAGCCGGCGGGCCCCGCCCUCCCACGGUCCCCCGGCCCCGGCAGGGGCGGGACCGGGUGCGGCGCGGGCACGCGCUGUGCGGCCCUGCCGCGGUGGUGCAUGGAACCAAGGGACCCAGCGACCGCGGGAAGGACCCGGGGCCCGUGCGUGCGCGGCCCCGGCCCUCCUCCCCGUGGCUCGGGAGGGCCGUCUCGGCCGGGGGAAACCCAGGCGAACGAUCGCAAGGAGGUGUGUGAACACAUGUGCCUAUGUGGACCAUGACUGGUAAGCAGUGCUGGUGAUGCGGGGUGCUCCGAGAGUGGAUUUACAGAUCCGGAGUGUUGGCUCAUACCCAGAUCCCACAAAGGAUGUUGCCUGCUAUGGAUAGCAGGACGGUGGCCAUGAAGGUUGGAACCCGCUGAGGAAUGUGUAACAACUCACCUGCCGAAGCGUGCAGCUCCGAAAAUGGAUGGUGCCCAAGUCAGUGGAGAUUAUCGUUGUUGUCCCUCACAGUCCACCGCCGCCGUGGUGGAGAGUCCCCUGUCGAGGACAAGCAGAGCGUCGCCGUGUAGAACGGGCUCGGGGGGCGUCCGCGCAGGCCGGGACCGUUCCCGGCUGGAGAGCCCCCUGGCGCAGAUCUUGGUUGUAGUAGCGAUUACUCCAUCGGGUGAAGAGCGGAUCCCCCCCACGCAAGUGGGGGGCACACACGCAACCAACACCGCUGUGUGCGGUUGAGGACUGGAGUGGAGCAGGUUUCCACACCUAACAGCCGUUGAAUGUGGGUGAGCCGGCCGUGAGCCAAGUGGUAAGUCACCGGACAACCAAAGCCGCCCGGCGGGCGGGAGUGGCGAACAGGCAAGCAUGUGUGCAACAUUCUGCUGUCGUGGGCGUGGGGUCCCUCCACGGUGGUGACACCUGGAUGUGACGGUACCAGCAGGCUUCGGGGCAGUGGGGCCCCCGAGGAGUUGUCGUUUCCUCCUGACGCAGACUCAUGUGGGCUACCGAUCGGCAUGACAGAUGGUGGUGUACGUCCUCCGCUCGGCAGGGCAGUGUGGCUCACUCCACACUGGUGGCCUCCCUGUCUCGGUGGCACGGCUGGCCCUCGGCGGCAAACCAGUCCCGGUGUGUUGUGGGCGGUGCGGUGUGGGCGGGGCGCCGGACCAAGACCCGGUGCGCCCCCGCCCCCCAGCCGAAGCGGCCCCGCCGCCGAGGCCAGCCCUCUGUCUCGCUUCUGUGGUGACCACUGGCUCCAAUGAAAGGCUUGUGAACUGCGGUGCCCCAGACUCCUUCUGUGCAAUCGUACUGGAUCACCGCAGCAGGUCUCCUCGACAAGACGUCGCUAGUCGACGGACGAAAUGCGGCUAAGGGAAGUCGGCAAACUGGCUGCGCACCCUCGGUAGAUGCAGUGGCUCCAGAGGCCAGGCCGUUCGGGGUCCCGCUGGGGGGCGCCCGGUGUUCCCGCGGGGCCAAACCCGCCUGUCGGCUGGGCGCGCCCUCGAGCGCGCUCGGCCGGGGCGGGCCCCGGGCCCGGGCGUCGUGGACCGCACCCAGGUCCCGGCGGGUGGCCCUCCGGGCCAGCCCCAUCGGCUGCACACAGUGGCUCAUGUGGAACUGUCGCCGUGCAGGGGAAUCUGACUGUUUAAUUGAAACCCAGCUUUGUGACGGGACCAGCUGGCUGGUGCCAUGAGGUGACUUCUGCCCAGUGCUCUGAUUGUCAAUGCGAAGAGAUUCAGCCAAGCGCGGGUAAACGGCGGGAGUAACUAUGACUCUCUUAAGGUAGCCAAAUGCCUCGUCAACCAAUUAUUGACGCGCAUGAAUGGAUCAACGAGAUUCCUGCUGUCCCUAGUCGCUGUCCGGUGAACCAACAGCCAAGGGAACGGGCUUGGGUGUGUCAGCGGGGAAAGAAGA